rnacentral:rRNA from 1 species
GACGAAGGGGGCUAGCGUUGUUCGGAAUUACUGGGCGUAAAGGGCUCGUAGGCGGCCAACUAAGUCGGAUGUGAAAUCCCCAAGCUUAACUUGGGAACUGCAUCCGAUACUGGAUGGCUUGAAUCCGGGAGAGGGAUGCAGAAUUCCAGGUGUAGCGGUGAAAUGCGUAGAUAUCUGGAGGAAUACCAGUGGCGAAGGCGGGUCUCUGGACAGUUCCUGACGCUGAGGCACGAAGGUCAGGGGAGCAAACGGG